rnacentral:rRNA from 1 species
UACGAAGGGGGGCUAGCGUUGUUCGGAUUUACUGGGCGUAAAGGGCGCGUAGGCGGCCACCGCAAGUCGACUGUGAAAUCUCCGGGCUUAACCCGGAAAGGUCAGCCGAUACUGCGGGGCUAGAGUGCAGAAGGGGGCAACUGGAAUUCUCGGUGUAGCGGUGAAAUGCGUAGAUAUCGAGAGGAACACCUGCGGCGAAGGCGGGUUGCUGGGCUGACACUGACGCUGAUGUGCGAAAGCUAGGGGAGCGAACGGGG